rnacentral:rRNA from 1 species
UAUGAGGCCAUCCAAAAAGGAUGGAAAAGUUUUAAAUUUAGAAGAACUUUGCAUGGAGAAACUUUAGGGUUGUGGAAUGCUUUGAAAAGUAGAUGUGAAACAAUUAAAAUGAAUGGAGGAAAUGAUAAGAUUGAAUGGACCCUCACUGCUGAUAAAAGAUUUUCUGUUAAAUCUUUAUACAAGGAAUUGAUCACAUCAGGGGUGAAAUUUCCACAGAAAUAUUUGUGGAAAAUCAAAGUUCCUGCUAAAAUAAAAGUCUUCUUGUGGCUAGUGAAUAAAAAGAGCAUUUUGACUAGGGAUGUUUUACUCAAAAAAGGAUGGAAAGGAGGGAAAGAAUGUGUGUUUUGUGGACAAGAUGAAUCAAUUGAUCAUUUGUUGUUCACAUGCUCUGCGGCCUCUCUGCUUUGGAGUUUGGUCCGAUGCGUUUGUGGUCUGAAGUCCAGUCCGUUAAGUGUCAAAGAUUGUUUUGGGGGGUGGAUUAAUAAAUUCAAUAAAGAAGACAAGAAAAUGGUGAUGAUA